rnacentral:other from 1 species
AUUGCUCUGCUUUCUCGGUAGCAUCUAAAAUUAAUUGACCCAACACUUCUGACAUUGGGAGUUCUAUAUAAUUUCGGUCUGUGGGCCGGAAUUGCGGACACCCACCUUGUAUCUUAGGAUCAAUUGUUUUGGAUCUAACCAGAGAGCAGAGUUUUA